rnacentral:rRNA from 1 species
GAUGAACGCUGACAGAAUGCUUAACACAUGCAAGUCUACUUGAAUUUGGGUUUUUAACUUAGGUUUGGGUGGCGGACGGGUGAGUAACGCGUAAAGAACUUGCCUCACAGCUAGGGACAACAUUUAGAAAUGAAUGCUAAUACCUAAUAUUAUGAUAAUAGGGCAUCCUAUAAUUAUGAAAGCUGUAUGCGCUGUGAGAGAGCUUUGCGUCCUAUUAGCUAGUUGGUAAGGUAAAGGCUUACCAAGGCGAUGAUAGGUAGCCGGCCUGAGAGGGUGGACGGCCACAAGGGGACUGAGAUACGGCCCUUACUCCUACGGGAGGCAGCAGUGGGGAAUAUUGGACAAUGGAGGAAACUCUGAUCCAGCAAUUCUGUGUGUGUGAAGAAGGUCUUCGGAUUGUAAAACACUUUUAGUUGGGAAGAAACAAAUGA